AUUGAACGCUGGCGGCAUGCCUUACACAUGCAAGUCGAACGGCAGCACGGGGCAACCUGGUGGCGAGUGGCGAACGGGUGAGUAAUGCAUCGGAACGUACCUUUCAGUGGGGGAUAACGUAGCGAAAGUUACGCUAAUACCGCAUAUUCUGUGAGCAGGAAAGCAGGGGAUCGCAAGACCUUGCGCUGAUUGAGCGGCCGAUGUCAGAUUAGCUAGUUGGUGGGGUAAAGGCUCACCAAGGCGACGAUCUGUAGCGGGUCUGAGAGGAUGAUCCGCCACACUGGAACUGAGACACGGUCCAGACUCCUACGGGAGGCAGCAGUGGGGAAUUUUGGACAAUGGGGGCAACCCUGAUCCAGCCAUGCCGCGUGAAUGAAGAAGGCCUUCGGGUUGUAAAGCUCUUUCGGCCGGGAAGAAAUCGCACGGGCUAAUACCCUGUGUGGAUGACGGUACCGGAAUAAGAAGCACCGGCUAACUACGUGCCAGCCGCCGCCGUAAAAC
rnacentral:rRNA from 1 species